CAGUUAUAGACCUUCUUUUAUGCUUCUUUGCUCAUUGCCACGUGAAGGCUUUCUCCUUUCGGAAGGUUUGUGUUUUACAAGGCCCAUUCUCUCUUCUUUGUGUCAGCUGUUGCAAUUCCUUAUUUCCACAACCUCCAAGCCACGUGUCACUUUCUAAUUGCCGGAUUUCACCGCACCAUUUAAUUCUCCUUAAUUCCAAAACUUUCUUUUCUCUCUUCCAUUUCUCUUGCAUUCGUCCAGAUUUUUCUCCUCCUCUUUCUUCUCUUUCUUUCCCUUUCUCUCACUGCUCAUUUCUUCUUCUUCCUGUAUUCUUUUUUUACUCUCACUUGAACUACAAUGGUAGAGGACGUGUGUUUCCUCUACAAGAGAAGGUGGAAGAACACAUUAGAGCUGCGAUUUUUAUCUCAAAAAAUCCAAGAGUACAGACAAGGUGGAAGAACACAUUAAAGCUGCCAUUUUUAUCUCAAAAACUCCAUGACUACAGACGUGUGUUUAUUUAUGCAGAGAAGGUGGAAGAACACAUUAAAGCUGCAAUUUUUAUCUCAAAAAAUCCAAGAGUACAGAGAAGGUGGAAGAACACAUUAAAGUUGCGAUUUUUAUCUCAAAAACUUCAUGAGUACAGAUAACAAAGAGAAAAAAUGGAGCACUGGCAGACCUUGGUUGUUUUAAGUACUAUGCCAAGCUUGCAGGAGGAUUGCUGAUUCAGCUGUGUUCCUAUAAAACCUGUGGAAUUUUGAUUUGGUUCUUUUUUUUAUAUCAGGUUUUGAUUUUGAUUUUCUAUAGUUAGGAUUCAAAAGAGGUUGUUUAAGUAAAGUAGUUUAGUUUUGUGAUAGUUGUAUCCCCUUCUGCUUUUUAUUGUAAGGGAUGAUGGAUUUUUUACUUUUUACUAAUAUGAAUAAGAAUGAAUGAAUAAA